GAAACACAGGAAGCGCUGUCAGAGUUCAGAGGAUUUUUAAUGCCGAUAGAGUAAGAGAGCGUAGAAGUUAUGGCUCUCACAGAGCAUAAACGCUGGAGGUAGGUGCACGUGUGUCCUCAGAGGACCAGUGUGGGGGCAGUCAUUAGGAGAAUCCUGUAAACACUGCUCCUUCCUCAAACCAGGGCAGUUACGCCCCGGUGAGACCACCUUUGUCUCCAGUCCCACCCUGUCUGAGGCUGGCCUUCAUAGAGGGUGGAUGCAGACAUGGAUCGCCUGGCAUCAGGGCAAAGUUCAAAU
rnacentral:lncRNA from 1 species